UCGCUCUUGCUGGUCUAGUCUCAGUCCACGGAUUUCAGUCCCGGAGAAAAUCAAGGCGAAGAAAAGAAGGAAAUCUUCGUCGCCGCCAACUGAAAAUCCUAUAUCUCCGCCAAUCCGGAAUGAAAUCCUCCACCGCCGCUGCCGCCAAGGCCACGCCCAACCUGCUCUGUCUCGCCAAGAACUUUGGAUAUUACUGGAAGUGAUGCUCUAACCAGAGUAAGUUUAAAAUUUUUUGUGGUUUAAAGUUGCAGUUACCUUGUAAAUAAGGGAAUUGAAUGCAAAGAACUGGUUACAUAGAUCAUCAGGCUGAGUUUGUCGUUACUGUCUUUUGCUAUGCUUGUUUCUAUGCUGAUACUGUUUUAUCAGUGACAAUGGAUAUUCUCAAUAUAAUGGUAUAAUUAUGGAAAAUAAUAAGAUAGGAAAUAAUAAUUGUGGGUUGGUGGAAUAGGAUAUCUCAAUUUGUUCUCCACAACAAUCCCUGGCAAGAUUUGGAUAUGAGAGCUUUUUCUCUCUUCAGCGCCUUCCAUUUCCAAUAUGUUUCUCUUGUAUCAACAGCUUAGACUGGUAUAAAUACUGUAUUCCUAACCUUGUACUGCAACUCUAUUAAUGGGUUAACGGUUUUUCAUGCAGGACGAUAAGUGUAUUGAGUAGUCUAGUUUUGCUUGGAAGAGAAUGAGAGCUUGCAUUUUGAAUUUAUGAGGGGUUACUUUACCUUUCUCAUGUGGGAUGGAAACAGGUUCAAGAUGUCAU